rnacentral:rRNA from 1 species
GACGAACGCUGGCGGCGUGCUUAACACAUGCAAGUCGAACGGAAAGGCCCUGCUUUUGUGGGGUGCUCGAGUGGCGAACGGGUGAGUAACACGUGAGUAACCUGCCCUUGACUUUGGGAUAACUUCAGGAAACUGGGGCUAAUACCGGAUAGGAGCUCCUGCUGCAUGGUGGGGGUUGGAAAGUGUCGGCGGUUGGGGAUGGACUCGCGGCUUAUCAGCUUGUUGGUGGGGUAGUGGCUUACCAAGGCUUUGACGGGUAGCCGGCCUGAGAGGGUGACCGGGCACCUGGGGACUGCGAGACGCCCCAGACUCCUACGGGAGGCAGCAGUGGGGAAUAUUGCAGAAUGGGCGGAAGCCUGAUGCAGCAACGCCGCGUGCGGGAUGACGGCUUUCGGGUUGUAAACCGCUUUCGCCUGUGACGAAGCGUGAGUGACGGUAAUGGGUAAAGAAGCACCGGCUAACUACGUG